AGCAGCCGCGGUAAUUCCAGCUCCAAUAGCGUAUAUUAAAGUUGUUGCAGUUAAAAAGCUCGUAGUUGAACUUCGGGGUUUACCCAUUGGUCAGGCUUAAUUGUCUGUACUGGUGAGAUAAAUCUCUACCUUCUGAGGAACUUUCAUGCCAUUUAUUUGGUGUGAUGGGGAACCAGGACUGUUACUUUGAAAAAUUAGAGUGUUUAAAGCAGGCUAACGUCUGAAUACAUUAGCAUGGAAUAAUGAAAUAGGACGGACUGAUUCUAUUUCGUUGGUUUCUAGGAUCACCGUAAUGAUUAGUAGGGAUAGUUGGGGGCAUUAGUAUUCAAUUAUCAGAGGUGAAAUUCUUGGAUUUAUUGAAGACUAACUACUGCGAAAGCAUUUGCCAAGGAUGUUUUCAUUAAUCAAGAACGAAAGUUAGGGGAUCGAAGACGAUCAGAUACCGUCGUA
rnacentral:rRNA from 1 species